UACAGAGGAUGCAAGCGUUAUCCGGAAUGAUUGGGCGUAAAGAGUCCGUAGGUGGCAUUGUAAGUCUGUGGUUAAAGCGUGGAGCUUAACUCCAUAUCGGCCAUAGAAACUACAAAGCUAGAGUAAGGUAGGGGUAGAGGGAAUUCUCGGUGUAGCGGUGAAAUGCGUAGAUAUCGGGAAGAACACCGGUGGCGAAGGCGCUCUACUGGACCUUAACUGACACUGAGGGACGAAAGCUAGGGGAGCGAAAGGG
rnacentral:rRNA from 1 species